UCGAACGAUGAAGCCCUUCGGGGUGGAUUAGUGGCGAACGGGUGAGUAACACGUGGGCAAUCUGCCCUUCACUCUGGGACAAGCCCUGGAAACGGGGUCUAAUACCGGAUACCACCUCCCGAGGCAUCUUGGGGGGUUGAAAGCUCCGGCGGUGAAGGAUGAGCCCGCGGCCUAUCAGCUUGUUGGUGGGGUGAUGGCCUACCAAGGCGACGACGGGUAGCCGGCCUGAGAGGGCGACCGGCCACACUGGGACUGAGACACGGCCCAGACUCCUACGGGAGGCAGCAGUGGGGAAUAUUGCACAAUGGGCGAAAGCCUGAUGCAGCGACGCCGCGUGAGGGAUGACGGCCUUCGGGUUGUAAACCUCUUUCAGCAGGGAAGAAGCGCAAGUGACGGUACCUGCAGAAGAAGCGCCGGCUAACUACGUGCCAGCAGCCGCGGUAAUACGUAGGGCGCAAGCGUUGUCCGGAAUUAUUGGGCGUAAAGAGCUCGUAGGCGGCUUGUCACGUCGGAUGUGAAAGCCCGGGGCUUAACCCCGGGUCUGCAUUCGAUACGGGCUAGCUAGAGUGUGGUAGGGGAGAUCGGAAUUCCUGGUGUAGCGGUGAAAUGCGCAGAUAUCAGGAGGAACACCGGUGGCGAAGGCGGAUCUCUGGGCCAUUACUGACGCUGAGGAGCGAAAGCGUGGGGAGCGAACAGGAU
rnacentral:rRNA from 1 species